UCCCUGGUAGUAUAUCGGUUAGUACACGCGCCUGUCAUACGGCAACCGCGAUUCCCUCGCGCGCGAAAGCUGGGUUCGACUCCCAGCCAGGGAG